rnacentral:rRNA from 1 species
UUUUUAUGAGAGUUUGAUCCUGGCUCAGGAUGAACGCUGGCGGCGUGCUUAACACAUGCAAGUCGAACGAAGCUAAGGGAGCUUGCUCCCAAAGCUUAGUGGCGGACGGGUGAGUAACGCGUGGGUAACCUGCCCUAUAGAGGGGGAUAACGUUCGGAAACGAACGCUAAUAC